GUUCAGAUGUGAUAGCGAGUGGGGUUAGGAUAAUGUUAGGUUCAGAUGUGUUAGCGAGAGGGGUUAGGAUAAUGUUAGGUUCAGAUGUGUUAGCGAGAGGGGUUAGGAUAAUGUUAGGUUCAGAUGUGUUAGCGAGAGGGGUUAGGGUAAGGUUAGGUUCAGACGUGUUAGCAAGUGGUGUUAGGGUAAGGUUAAGUUCAGAUGUGUUAGCGAGUGAGGUUAGGGUAAGGUUAGGUUCAGAUAUGCUAGUGAGUGGUUAGGGUAUGGUUAGGUUCAGAUAUGCUAGCGAGUGGUUAGGGUAAGGUUAGGUUCAGAUGUGUUAGCGAGAGGGGUUCGUGUAAUGUUAAGUUCAGAUGUAAUAGCGAGAGGGGUUAGGGUAAGGUUAAGUUCAGAUGUGUUAGCGAGAGUGGUUAGGGUAAGGUUAAGUUCAGAUGUGUUAGCGAGAGGGGUUAGGGUAAGGUUAAGUUCAGAUAUGAUAGCGAGAGGGGUUAGGGUAAGGUUAAGUUCAGAUAUGAUAGCGAGAGGGGUUAGGGUAAGGUUAAGUUCAGAUAUGAUAGCGAGAGGGGUUAGGGUAAG
ensembl:lncRNA